UACGGAGGGUGCGAGCGUUGUCCGGAAUCAUUGGGCGUAAAGGGCGCGUAGGCGGCCACCGCAAGUCAGUUGUGAAAUCUCCGGGCUUAACCCGGAACGGUCAGCCGAUACUGCGGGGCUAGAGUGCAGAAGGGGCAACUGGAAUUCUCGGUGUAGCGGUGAAAUGCGUAGAUAUCGAGAGGAACACCUGCGGCGAAGGCGGGUUGCUGGGCUGACACUGACGCUGAGGCGCGAAAGCUAGGGGAGCGAACGGG
rnacentral:rRNA from 1 species